rnacentral:lncRNA from 1 species
GGAAAAGUUGUGGAUAUUUAUUUCGAUAUUUCGCCACGAAAAGUUCGUAUUUUUGAAGGUAAGUUUUUGUAAUUGUUUUAAAUAUGAGUCAAAUUAACGAUUUUUGCUUUAUUUGGUGUUUUAACAACGUUUAGUUAUAUGUUAAUCGCAAUUUAGAAUGACCUGUUUUCCGGGUCAAUGCACAAGUGUCAAAAGUGGCUUUCAAAACCGCUGGGGACAAUUGGGUUUAUAAAUGAGUAAAUUAAAUAAAAGACACGCCAUCGUAUUCAGGAAGAGUUGUUCUUUCUAUGAGAAGUUUAAAAAAUGAAUUGUCCCCAUCAAACUGACGAGUAAUCGCGGUUUGAAAAUGGGGCAUUUUCGGUAUACUAUGUCGCCCAUCGCGGGUAUAAUCGACCGCAUGGGAAUUAUGGCGCGAGGAAAAUUACUGUACGAGUCGUUAUUAUUUUUGUUUUAUUUCGAAGCAUGUGCAUAUAUGUCGAUCGUUGUUGAGUUUAACUGCUGCAUUUAAGUUAAAUACACUGUAUUUUACCAUUAUUUUUAUAGAAUUCGAAUAUAUUUUGUGAAAAUGGAAUCUGAUAAUGAUGGCAAUGUUGUUUAUAUUGUUGAUCCUUAGUAUGGGAAAAGUUGAACUUAUGAAUUUAAUGCUGAUUUAGAACUGUUAUUGAGCAAACUGUUCCUACAUCCUGCUUUGGCAAAUGGUAUAACAUCUAAUCCAGUCAAGUUGUGCUCAUGAUCCAUUCAACUGAUUCAAGCAAUGAAACUAUUGAACCAGAAUAAUAAGAGCAACCUGUUAUAUAAAUUUGCCCAUACCAGCCUUUUAAUAGAUACAUAUUUUAG